rnacentral:lncRNA from 1 species
GCAUUCUGGAAAAAGAUGCAGACUGGUACAGGCUGAAAGCGCAGCAGAGAUGACACUGUUUCAAGAUUCCUGCACCAGCCCCUUUGUGGUUAUAGAAGUUGGAUUAAAUAAAAGGUCGACCUUCCAACCACGAUGGCCGUUGAAGAGAUGCCAUCAAGCCAGGGUCUCUGCUUCUCCCUGCUGCAGCCUGUAUCCGAGACUGGCUUCCUGACCUGCACCUCAGUGAAAGGAAGGAAAGAGAAGGGGAAAUAGAAACAGAAGCAAUGUGUGAAAGAUCCAGUUGCUCUACGUCCUUGCCAGCAGUUGGUAUGGUAAGUAUUUUCAAAAUUUUAUCUAUCCAAAUAGAUGGGUAGUGGUAGCUCAUUGUGGCUUUAGUUUGCAUUUUCCUAAUGGCUAACUUUCCUAAUCUUUUCAUGUACUUAUUUGCCAUACGUAUCUUUUUUGGUUAAAUGUCUGUUCAUAUGUUUUGCCUGCCAAUUUCUUUUCUUGUUAGUGAGUUUUGAGAGUUCCUUAUAUAUUCUACAUACAAGUCUUUUAUUAGAUAUAUGAUCUGCAAAUGUUUUCGCCCACUUUGUGGCUUCUCUAUUCUGUUCUCUUACAAGUAUUUUUCAAACAGUAGAAAUUCUUAAUUAAAUUUAUUUACUUUUCCUUCUAUAACUGUGCUUGGUUGUCAUGUCUAAGAAAUUGUUGCCAGACCCCAACAGCAAAGAUUAUUUUCCCAGUUUUUGCUAGAUGCUUUAUAGUUUUUGAUUAGUGAAGAUAUUAUGAUUGGAGAAGAAAAUUCAGGGGCUUUAAAAAUACUGUCAUAGUUAUAUUUUGUUUAACCUGCUUGGUAUUUACAUAGGUGCUUGCUUUAUUAUUUUUUUAAAUGCUAUAUAUCUGUACAUCUCUGGGUAUGUUUACAGUAAAAAAUUAGAAAACGAGUAUGACAAAAAUUUGACAUCCAUUCAUGUCAUAGGAAAAAUAAGCUGUAAAUAUUAUACUUAAUGGAGAAAGAUUCGCAGCAUUCUCUUUGAAGUACAGUAGACAAGUAUGCUCACCAUAACGGCUUGUAUUCAACAUUGUUUCAGAGGGCCUGGCUAUAUCAGUAAAAUAAAAAUCAGAACAAAUAAAUAUUCACAAUGAUUAUAAAGGAAUGAUAAAAACAAAAUAAAGGUGAUAGGAUUAUUUCUAUAUAAUGUCUGAGACAGUCUAACAAGCUAUUACAAUUAGUUUCAAAAUUUUUACAUAGUUUCUGGAAAUAAGAUUAACAUAAAAGAU